UUCUUUCUUUUUUUUAUAGCUUCUCUAUUGAUGCAGGACAAGUUUGGAAGUGUUAAGUAAACAAACAUUUUAGGCUUAAAGCAGAAAUGCGCACCUAUUAAUUACAUCUUCUGUGAAUGUACUUCAGGUUGCUAAGGAGGCCCUGUGAUAUGGCAAAGGAGGAAGUAUGGGCUGCUUACAAGUAGGAGCUAUUUCCUUGACUCAAAUUUGCAUCAGAGGAGAGAACCACAUGAGCACAUGCCUGAUCUGAUUUGCUUAGGACUUGUCCAUGAUGAGAAUUUAGAUUAUCCCAAUAGUUAUUCUAAAUAUUUAAUCAUAACUUACAGUGUAUUGCUUUAGAGCACACAUCUGUGAACUUUAGAGUCAAGCCAAUAUAAUCUAUUAACAUUUGUCUAGAGUCUAAAUUUAGUUGAACCUCAGGAAAAGUUCUGGAAGAUGAACUGACUGAAAUAUGUGUGGACUACUCUUGUUGCAAGAUGAAGGUAGAACUUAAGUUGAUCACAGAAUUAAACAAUGCCGUUGAUACACACAGACACCAACAAUAGUGUCGAUGCAGAGGCUACUUGUUAACUUAGGAACUGUAACUUCAUGGUAUUUAUGAAUGGAAUUAAAACCCAUAAGCUGCUUGUCUUCAUUAUACAGUAGGGAGGGCUGAUUCCAGGGGAACUAGCAGCAGGAUUUCUGAAUUUUAAAUCACAGCUCCAGCAAACUGAAGUACUGAGUAAGUGGCUUUUGGUCAUUUUGACCAUUGAAAAUAGCCCGAGACAUGUUUGGCAUCAGAACUACCUUUAUUUUCCAGGAGAAGAAUGAAUUUCAAGAUUAACAUAGGAUUGUGAAAAUCGUGCUGGGUCCUGAAGCUUAGAGGCUAGUGAUGCGGAGCAGAAAGACUUGGGGUCCUUGGUGGGGUUUGUUUGAGUCCAGUUGGCCCUUGCUGUCACUUCCUGGAUUCUGCUGCCCUUCAGGUGGGAGCAGCAGCCCCCACUGCCCUGGGUUGGCGGGUACCCCAUCUAGCACCUGCCUUUCCAUCUAGAGCUCGGGCACAUGCUGUGUUGCCUGGAUGAGCCAGUGCUCGCUUUCCCCGGAGAAGCCGGUCAGUUUGCAUGAACUGCAGAACGCUCUGGAAGCCAGGAGUUCUGAAACCUCUAUUUCUUCUGUCAUCCCACUGUUGUAGCUCAACCGUAUACUUUGCUUUCUUGCCCUGUUGUGUAUGUAUACACAGAUAUAUGUGUCUAUCAGUAACAAAGUUAAAUUGUUAACUUCAUUUGUAUCUUUAAUUUAAUAUAAAAGUAAUGUAUCCUAGUUUCAAAAAAUGAGUGAAAUACUGCUUUAGCUUUGUAGAUCAAACUUGGGAUUGUAUGAUUGUCGUUGUUCCAGCUUUUAAAGGGAUAGAAGGGGGAACCUUCCAGGGAGACUGGAGCUCUGAUGCUGCGAACAAAGUGUGCACAUUGAUUCUUCUGAGGCCAAGUUGCUUCUGCUACUUUGCAUUUUAGUGUCACGUUAGAGUUUCAUUUCAUGUUCAUUUGUUCAUUCACAUGUGUUUUUAUUUUUAGCUCUAAGCAAAAGGCAUGAGGCCUCAGCUGAAAUGAGGUGGCUUUGAGGUCAUCCGAUUUCUAGACGUGUGCGGUCACCUGGUCCUGAAAGUCCUCUACACAGCAUGGUUUGCAAUUUUUUUUGGUGAUGGCAUGUUCAGAAUCUUGGAUCCCUAAGUUGAAUGUUGGAAAUAUGUAGGAGCCUUGGAAAUGAUGUUGUUUUCCUAUUUUCAUGUUUUGGUGGGUGAAUCAGUAGAUUAAUAAAUGCAUGUGAAGGAAA